rnacentral:rRNA from 1 species
GACGUAGGGCGCGAGCGUUGUCCGGAUUUACUGGGCGUAAAGGGCGCGUAGGCGGCAAUUCAAGUCAUCUGUGAAAUCUCCGGGCUUAACUCGGAAUGGUCAGGUGAUACUGCUUUGCUAGAGUGCAGAAGGGGCAAUCGGAAUUCUUGGUGUAGCGGUGAAAUGCGUAGAUAUCAAGAGGAACACCUGAGGUGAAGACGGGUUGCUGGGCUGACACUGACGCUGAGGCGCGAAAGCUAGGGGAGCAAACGGG